CCCGGCGUGGAGCAGAGGUUAGCUCGCCAGGCUCAUAACCUGGAGGUCGCAGGUUCGAAUCCUGCCGCCGGAA
rnacentral:tRNA from 1 species